rnacentral:lncRNA from 1 species
AUGGUGCUGAGGAGGAGGAGGGGAUGGUACUGGGAUAGAGGGAAUGGUCCUGAGGAAAAGAGAAUGGUGCUGAGGAGGAGGGGAUGGUCCUGAGAGGAAGGGAUGAUGCUGAGGAAGAGGAGAUGGUGCUGGGGAGGAUAGGAUGGUGCUGGGGCUCAGCCUCUUGCUGGACUGGCUGAAGGUGCCAGUGCUUCAGAGAGAGGACAUGUCACAUUUAAUGGCCAAAAUAUGGGAGCUGGGGAGGAACAGUGAGUGCCCAAAGCCCGGACCUGUCUGCUGGGCCAGGCCUGCUCCACCCUGCAGCACAGGGCAGGGAAAUCUGAGCUAAUUUAAUUACCCUCUGUGGGUUCUUACCUUGCCUUUUCCACCUGACUUUGCAAGCUCAGGGCAGGGAUAUCAGUGGGAAGCACGGCCUCCCCAGUGAAAAUGGUUGUUGCUUAUGAAAGGUUGGGGUUGUGGCGCUGCAUUUACCUGCCAGACAGCUCUCUGGGGCUCCGGAGCCAUCUGCUCAAGUGCCAUUUGGCAAAGCACCAGCGUGACUUUUAUCUCAGCCUCACAAUCCUUCUCCUUUCAUCUUCCAGCUCCGCGCUGACCCAGACCCCACCCCUGGAAUUUGGCAUCCACAGCUGGAUUCUCCCCCCUCAGCAGCACCAGGUGCUUAGAGCCAAAUCCCGGCCAAUUCCCAUUCCAGCCAUGAAAUGAGAAGCGCUGCUCCCGCUUGCACCCUCGAGGUCAAAUUGUUCAGAAACGACCGAGAAAUCAAACAACAGCCGGGCUUCAAACAUUUCUUUUCUCUUGAAAUGAUUAAGGAGGCUUUUGGGAAGGCAAGGAGAGGGAAAACGCUUUGGGGGAAAGGCAGGAGAGUGCAAGUGCCAGCACGAAUUCAGUGAGGAAACUGAAGGGAGAGGAGAGCCCCGCAUCCCCGAGCACCGGGCAUUGCAACAGCGCCAUUAAUUACAUGAUAGCUGCGUUAUCACUUCAUUAACUCGGGACGAGAUGUGCAAGAUCAGAUAGCAGAAGGGAGGGAGAGCCGGGGGAACCGUGCCAAUAGGGUCAGGGAGAUAAACGGGAUUCCGAGUUUGGGGAACAGCUCCCACCCCCGUGGGGAACACGAGGAGGUUUUCAUCACUUCGAUUUGUAAAUGCUGACUUUCUGUCUUCCCUCCGGGAUGUGGCAAGCUCUGUCUCAGAUGUGGUUGGGAGGGUUUUGCUCCCAGGACGGACAUUGGAAGUUUUUCUGCAGUUUCUGCUCAGGCUGGGACCCCCUAGCACAGAUUGUAUUUCAGCUUCCCUGCUUCCCCUGCUCGAGGAGAUAAGGGAGUGGUUUUGGUGUGAUAGCACAUGUGAGAGACCCGCUGCCUGAGCUCCCACUCCCCAAUAAAUGUGAAUUAUUGCUCCA